AAGUUUGAUCCUGGCUCAGGACGAACGCUGGCGGCGUGCCUAAUGCAUGCAAGUCGAACGAGCGGCCUUGUGCCGGCUGCGUGGCGAACGGCUGAGGAACACGUGGGCAACCACCCCCGAGUGGGGGAUACCCCGUCGAAAGACGGGACAAUCCCGCAUACGCUCUACGGAGGAAAGCGCAAGGCGCUCCGGGACGGGCCUGCGGCCCAUCAGGUAGUUGGUGUGGUAACGGCGCACAAGCCAAUGACGGGUCCCCGGUCUGAGAGGACGACCGGGCAGACUGGGACUGCGACACGCCCAGACUCCUACGGGAGGCAGCAGCAAGGAAUUUUCCCCAAUGGGCGCAAGCCUGAGGAGCAACGCCGCGUGGAGGACGACGGCCUUCGGGUUGUAAACUCCUUUCGGGCGGGACGAAAUGACGGUACCGCCAGAAGCAGCCCCGGCUAACUCUGUGCCAGCAGCCGCGGUAAGACGAGGGGGCAAGCGUUGUCCGGAGUUACUGGGCGUAAAGGGCGCGGAGGCGGUCUGCUGCUCGGCGCUGAAAGCGCCCCGCUUAACGGGGCGAGGCGCGCCGAUACGAGCAGGCUGGAGCGAGCAGAGGGCGGCGGAAUUCCGGGUGGAGCGGUGAAAUGCGUAGAGAUCCGGAGGAAGCCAGUGGAGAAGUCGGCCGCCUGGGCUCGACCUGACGCUGCGGCGCGACAGCGUGGGGGCAAACCGGAUUAGAUACCCGGGUAGUCCACGCCGUAAACGAUGCCGGCUCGGCGUUUGCGCGCGCGAGCGCGCUGGGCGCCUUAGCUCACGCGGUAAGCCGGCCGCCUGGGGACUACAGCGCAAGCUUAAAACU
rnacentral:rRNA from 1 species